rnacentral:snRNA from 1 species
GUGCUCUCUUCGGCAGCACAUAUACUAAAAUUGGAAAGAUACAGAGAAUAUUAGCAUGGCCCCUGUGCAAGGAUGACAUGCAAAUUCAUGAAGCGUUCCAUAUUUUU